GGAAAAAAAUAGUUGUUUAUGUUGGAUGGAAGCUCUCGUAGAACUCAGAUAAUUAUUCCUUUCCGGCUAGGUAUAGGUUGCAAGGAUGGAGAGGUCCGUGCAUAUGUAUAUAAGAUGAUUGACGAUCAGAUCAAUUUGGUUCUUGCCAUAUCAUGUACAAUUGAGCAAGUUGGCAUAUGUGUUCUACCAUCUUUUUUAUAUUUGUCUAUUUUUUUUCUUGAGAAGAGCCACUUCUCUUUAAUCAGCAGGAAUGCAUUUCCUCCUGAUCUGCAAUCAGUUGCAUACUUGCAUUGCCUCAACUUCGAGUUAUACAAUUCUCCCCCACCCACCACCCCCACACACCCCCCCCCAAAAAAAAAAAAAAAAAAAAAAAAAAAAAAAAAAAACUCUUUAUGCAAACUGGACCAGUUUCACCAGUCAAAUUGAUAAUGGGAACUAGCCACCUUGGAAAUUUGGUUUGUCUAUGGAGCUCGUAUGUGUUAAACUGCUUUCACACUUGUUAAAUGUGAACAAAGCUGUUUUUUUGCUUCAUAACUACCUGUUAUGAGGUGGUUGAAUUGUUUACCCAACAAAUGGGUUCCAUCUAGCAAUUAGAUAUGCUCUGCAGCUCUGAUGUUAGUUACUUCGUUUGUGAAUGCUCCAUGCAAAGCAUGUUUUAGUUUUUGCUUAUCUUAUGGUGACAUAAUAUUUACAUUGGGUUGAGUAGGAGCAUUUACUUUGGAAUUCCUUAGAGGAAAAUUAUAUCAUGACAUAAAUGUGGAACAAAAAAGGAUUUUUUUUAUUUCAUAUUGAAUUUGUUGAGUUUGUCUUUGAAGGAAGGGGAUUAAAAUGCAUAUACUCCACAUUCGUUUAGAGUUCACUUUCUUAUUCUUCUUUAAAUCUUCCAGUUUCUAAUAGUCCAUAUCUCAUUGUUUCUUUGCUUCUUGUCGAAGUGUACCGGGGGGGGGGGAGUGUCCUUGUUGAUUCGUGUGGCAUUAGCCUUAGAGUUUUUUUAUGCUUAGUCUAGUUAAAUCAUUAUUAGACUUUGUUAUUUACUCUGUUUGUAAUUUAACUCUAAGUAGGACUCCUAUUUUAAUAUAAACUGUGGGCCUAGGCCACAAUAGGGAUUAUUCAGAACCUAUCGUGGCUAUGGGAAAUGCACAUUAUUCUCCCAUCGUUCUCUGUCUUUUCUCUUCUUCCCUCUCUCUCUCUCUCUCUCUCUCUCUCUCUCCCCCCCCCCUCUUCUUAUGACUGUGCAAGGACUGGUUCUUAAUCUCUGCUGCUACAUGGAAUCUGAACUCUUUUAAUCAGUUCUUCCACUUCAACUUUUGUUUUGAUAGUCCCUUCAAGUUUUUCUUUGUGGUUUGCAAGAAUGGAAGAACCUAUGGUGUCAUAUUUUUACUCUAUGGAAUACUAGUUGCUAACGACAUGAAAAUAAACUGGUGUCUCCUUCAUACAUGUUGCUGAUUUCCCCCUAGCGUGGAUUGUCGUGGGAUAUGAAUCUACAUCAAAAUUUUCCAUCGCAUGAAACAUACUACAGCAUUAAUUGCUUUCAGUGGUGAUUCCAUGGGAGUUCGUCAUCACUGGUAUUGAUUAAUAUAUAUAUUUCUGUCAAAAUCUUCCAUCUGUAACCUGGUGGAACCCCCUGUUCUUCAAAGUAUUUUGGCGAGAUUGAGAUUCCCCUUUUCUAGGUAUCUGGCCGUGAGAUUCUGUUGAUACUUCGGACUAACUUGUCCCCUCUUCUAAGUUAUUUCGAUCCUAAUUUGGUGUCAAUCUGACUUUGGAUCUUAUGUAUUUUGAAAUGACCCAAAUUCUGGGUUCUUACUUGUAAGAAUUGUUAUCUUUUGCUGUUGGUUAUUGACUUGUCAUCCAAUUAUUGUGAUAUUGUGGGGUUUGUAUUAUCCAUUGGUCUGCUAUAUCUAUCCUGUUUUGGAGGCCCAUGAGAGGGUUUUAUAUUAAUCUUUGUGGAAAUGUUGUGUGCUCGGCGCUAGAGUUGCUUUUCACUGGUUCCAUCAAUUUCUCUAUUUUUGGUUUGUUAGGUUGCUGUAUUUGUUGGUUUGGGGAGUCUUAAUAAGAUAUUGCUGCUGGUUACUCCUUUACAUACAUAAUGAGCGAUUCAAAACCUCCAUGGACUCCCUCAAUGUCCAAAUACAUCCAUCAAGUUUAAUGGUGCUUCCAAUUAUUUUCUCUGGGCACAAGCAGUUCAAGUUUAUAUAACCGCCAAAAUGGAGGAUGUAUUAUUUGACUACGUGUUCACCUGCUACAACUUUUGCGAGUAUAAGAAGUGGAUGACGAAGAAUGGUAUUAGUCUGUUGCUUGUGGAACACUAUGAAGCCAUUGUGGCUUCUAAUGUAAUGUUUCAUACCACAGCCAAGGGUGCUUGGGAUGAUAUCAAGAAAACUAUUCUCAAGAUAAAAAUAUGUCCAUGGUAUAUGACUUUUUUGGUAAGUUCUACAUUAAAAGAAAUGGAAAAUUUGUUGGCGACUACUAUAAUUAUCUAAAGGGCAUGUGGGAGGAACUUAAUGUGUACCAACCUUUUUCCAUUGAUAUUGAAGUUUAGGCUCUAUCUUUGGUUAGGCUCUCAUACUAAAUAACGUAAGAUAGAAUCAUAAGUGAUCCAAUCCCAGGUAGGAUCUUCAAUACAAUCAAUAAAUUUCAGAUUCAAGGAACAAAUUAGAAAAAUAAAACAAAAAAUAGAGAAGAAGGAGAAGAAGAAGGUAGGUAAUAGGGUAGUCUCUCUCAGAUUCGGGUCCAUUACCCAUGGCCUCCCACAGUCUCACCGUUGUUUUGACUCUCUUAGCCACAGCCUCGCUUAGGACUAUGGGAUGCAAAAAGCAAACUUCCUUUCAUAACUUCAAAUUAUGGGGGACCUUUUAAGGGUCAUUACAAAGGGUCAUUACAUUGUAUAGGCAUAAAGCUUGCUUCGCAAGAAAGAACAAAAAUAUAAACAUAACAGAAAAAGGAAACUAAGAAAGCCUCUCUAAAAGUGAUCUUCUUUGUACAAGAAGAAUCAAACUAAAAGGAAACAAAGACUUUAGAAAAUCUUAAAACAAGUAACUAUUUCUUGCCUUUAGACUUAAGCAAAGACAAACAAACUACUUGCAAAAAAGGGAAAGAAAAAGAUGGAAACAAAUCACUAAACUCUCCUUGAAAACUCCAUCUAUUAGCUAGCUGUCCAAGGCAAAAAAGAAAAUAGAAACUAAACUAAAUCAGGAAUAAAAAAAAAGGAAAAUUAGGACCCAAAUCACUGUUCACAUGAACAUUGUUGCAUGAAUAGUAACCGCGGGUAUUAUUCACAUCAACAACAUUGUGAACAAUAACUUUUUCCUUUUCCCUCUGAAUUUUAUUCUCGUCCUCUUCUUCUUUGUGCUUUGAUCUACAUCAUCAUGAUUAUAUACACUAUAAUUCUAUUCCUCUUGAUGACAACUUGAAGAAGGUAUAUAAUGUAAAUCUAAAUAUUAACCAUUAUAGGUGUAUGCUUGAUCUUUUGGUUAGAGCUAGGAAUUUAGAAGAGGCUGAGCAACUAAUAGGUACCAUGCCCAUGUAGGUAGAUGUUGUGAUAUGGGGAAUAACUCAUGGGAACAUGGAAAUUGGAGAGAAGAUAGAAAGAACUUGGUAAGGAUCUUCACACGAGGAAGACGAUUGGUGGAGAGCGUGAAAAAGAUGGUUUAUAUUAUCUCUAUUGUGAUACUCUUGCUACUUUCGCUGCUGUUAUAGCCGUUGGGGAUGUCUCCUUUCCAAUGGCACUGUCGUUUAGGUCAUUUGUCCUUGUCUGGGCUGUAAAUUUUAUUUCUUAGUUUUAAGUCUAUAGUAAAGUUAAGAGUGUGAAGCAUGUGAGUUAGGAAAGCAUCACCGUGUGUCUUUUCCAUCUCGCUCUGUGCUUUGGAGUUCGUUUUUAUUUUCCUUAGUUCAUUUAGAUGUUUGGGGUCCUUGUCGAGUCAGCAAUAGCUUUGGGUUUCGAUAUUCUGUGUCUUUUGUUGAUGACCACCUCGUCUUACAUGGCUGUACUAGUUAAAGGAUCGAUCUAAAUUUUUAUCUGUGUUUCAGACUUUAUAUAAGGAAAUAAAAACUCAAUUUGGUGUUUAA